GGAUGUAGCUCAGUGGUAGAGCACUUGCCUAGCAUGUGCAAGGCCCUGGGUUCAAUCCCCAAAUAAUUG
rnacentral:tRNA from 1 species